rnacentral:rRNA from 1 species
UGGGGAAUUUUGGACAAUGGGCGAAAGCCUGAUCCAGCAAUGCCGCGUGUGUGAAGAAGGCCUUCGGGUUGUAAAGCACUUUUGUCCGGAAAGAAAUCCUUGGCUCUAAUACAGUCGGGGGAUGACGGUACCGGAAGAAUAAGCACCGGCUAACUACGUGCCAGCAGCCGCGGUAAUACGUAGGGUGCAAGCGUUAAUCGGAAUUACUGGGCGUAAAGCGUGCGCAGGCGGUUUGCUAAGACCGAUGUGAAAUCCCCGGGCUCAACCUGGGAACUGCAUUGGUGACUGGCAGGCUAGAGUAUGGCAGAGGGGGGUAGAAUUCCACGUGUAGCAGUGAAAUGCGUAGAGAUGUGGAGGAAUACCGAUGGCGAAGGCAGCCCCCCUGGGCCAAUACUGACGCUCAUGCACGAAAGCGUGGGGGAGCAAACAGGAUUAGAUACCCUGGUAGUCCACGCCCUAAACGAUGUCAACUAGUUGUUGGGGGAUUCAUUUCCUUAGUAACGUAGCUAACGCGUGAAGUUGACCGCCUGGGGGAGUACGGUCGC